UCAAUAGGCAUCAACAAUGUUAUAGGAGAAGAGGCAUGUGUGAGAAUCUUGAAAAAGAAAAUCGAUUGAAAUUUGAUAUUUCUUAUUUUUAUGGGGAUCUCAACAUAGAAGGAUUCUUAAAUUGGAUUGCAAAGGUGGACCAAUUCUUUAAUCAUGUGGACAUAGCACCUGAAAAAAGAGUCAAAUUGGUGUUUUGUCGGUUGAAAGGAGGUGCUUCUGCUUGG
rnacentral:misc_RNA from 1 species